rnacentral:lncRNA from 1 species
CAGAGCCCUGUAGGGAUGCCUGACAACCUAACACGUUGAACACGCACAGCUCAGUAAGUUCCCUGUGAACACACAUCUCCUGAGAUCUCUCUAUUUAAUUGGAGGUGAUCCUGUCCACCUAAUACAGCACCUCAUGUGGAAUAACAAAAGCUACCUGCAGGAGCUGUGGUGAUGACUCACAGGGUAGAGCAUCUGCUGCUCUCUCAGAAGAACCACAUGGACCCUAACAAUUGGGUGCUUCCUACACAAGAGAUCACAUGACCACAGAGUGUCAUUUGUCAAAGAACCAAGAACUUGUUCAAAACUCUACAUAGGAUCCAAUGUAUCACAUGGAUAUGCAAUAAUAUGAUAUGUUAUUCAUCUGUCACCAUUUCUAGACUGCAGCUUCAAAAAGAGCAGCAAAAUAUGCUUGCACAAUAAUUCAGUUUCUGAAAAGUGGUUAACUUCCCAGAAUACUUGUGCAUAGGCAGAGCAAUGAACAAUUCCAUUACAUGAGGUGGUUGGCUGGUUGUGAGUGUAAAUUAGAAAGGUGGUAAGAGAAGCAAAGAUGUAUCAAAUUGGCAAAUUUUAUCAGAUAUUGUUAAGCUAACACAUCUGCUCGUCCCUACCUGAUAAUGCUGGUUCUGGCCGUUGAUGGUCUUUAUCUUUCUUGUUGAAGUCAACCAAAUAUUUCUGGUUCAGUGCACAAUCAAGAUGUACCUCCUUGCUCUCCUGCUUCAGUGGGACCAACUUCUUCCUACAUGUGUUCUCCAUCAGGAGCUGGCUGAGCAGGUUUCUGGAAAUACAGUCUGCAUAGUAAGAUCAUGCUGCCCCUUUCUCCCAUUCCCACUCCUGAGUGCCACUAACUCUACCAGGACCCAGAUACCCAUGAAGACUUAAUAAAAUACAUCUCGAUACAUAUAAUGCUCCUGCACAAACCACAAAGAGUUAAUUCGGGGGAGAAUAAAUUGUUUGUUUGGCUCAAGCACC